rnacentral:rRNA from 1 species
AACGAACGCUGGUGGCAUGCCUAAUACAUGCAAGUCGAACGAGAAAGUUCCUUCGGGGAUGAGUAGAGUGGCGCACGGGUGAGUAACACGUAGGUGACCUACCCUAUAGCUUGGGAUAACAAGAAGAAGUUCUUGCUAAUACCGGAUGUGCUAAGCAACUUUGGAAGGAGCUUAGGAAAGAUGGCCUCUAUACUAUGCUAUCACUAUAGGAAGGGCCUGCGGGUCAUUAGCUUGUUGGUGGGGUAACGGCCUACCAAGGCUAUGAUGACUAGCCGGUCUUAGAGGAUGAUCGGCCACACUGGAACUGAGACACGGUCCAG